UCGCGCGCCCUCCUGCAGCGCACGUUCGGUAGGGGUUCUUGCCGGCCGCCGCGCGCGCACGCUCUUCACGUUAACCAAUCGAGAAACGAAAGCGAGCCCCUUCAGUUCCUUCAGAGCUUUGGGGAAGAGGGGGGCGUUCCUCCGGUAAUGGCUAAGACCAGUGCACAUGCAUAAGAGGAAACAAAGGCUUGCGCCUGUCGUUUCCCUCGGAUCGGUCUGAGCAUGUGCGAAACGAAAGGAAGGAAACGUGUCGCCCAUGUGGGGAGCGCGUACAAAUGGUACCAUUAUACAAAAAUAAUGAAACUGCCGAUUCUGACAUUCUGAAAGAGGAAUUACAACAUACAAAAUACAGUCAAUCACAAAAGAUCUGUUACUGUCAAGUCUGUUACUGUCAAGUCUACUAUCAAGUCUAUUAUCUAGUAAUUGUGAUAGGAAAGACAAAGAGCCACUAGCAGACUGGAUUGGCGAUAGGAAUAGGCAAACCUGGAGUUUAGCUUAGCCUCAGUGACUCUCAGCCCAGACUAUUUCAUAGCACUGUUGUGGUGAAAUGUGGGAGAGGAUAUUACCAUAAUCUUCUGAAGGGAAAUUGAAUUAGUUUCCUGCAUUCCCUCAUGCUCUUCACAGUUGCUGUAUCAUGAACAUAAAGUGCAUAACAUAUACCAAGCUGCUUACCUAGGCAAUACCCUACUUAUAUUUUCCUGGGAAAGAGUCAUUGCAAAGCAGCCAACAGGAGAUACAAGAAUGACAGCAAAAAUAAAUACUUCUGGUGUCCCUAGAGGCAUGAGAGAAA